CGAUAACGAACGAGACCUUACUCUGCUAAAUAGCCAGGCUAACUUUGGUCGGUCGCCGGCUUCUUAGAGAGACUAUCAACUCAAGUUGAUGGAAGUUUGAGGCAAUAACAGGUCUGUGAUGCCCUUAGAUGUUCUGGGCCGCACGCGCGCUACACUGACAGAGCCAACGAGUUCUUUUCCUUGUUCGAAAGAAUUGGGUAAUCUUGUUAAACUCUGUCGUGCUGGGGAUAAAGCAUUGCAAUUAUUGCUUUUCAACGAGGAAUGCCUAGUAAGCGCGUGUCAUCAGCAUGCGUUGAUUACGUCCCUGACCUUUGUACACACCGCCCGUCGCUACUACCGAUUGAAUGGCU
rnacentral:rRNA from 1 species